GACGUAGGGUGCGAGCGUUGUCCGGAUUUAUUGGGCGUAAAGAGCUCGUAGGCGGCUCGUCGCGUCGACCGUGAAAACCCGCGGCUUAACUGCGGGCUUGCGGUUGAUACGGGCGGGCUAGAGUUCGGUAGGGGAGACUGGAAUUCCUGGUGUAGCGGUGAAAUGCGCAGAUAUCAGGAGGAACACCGGUGGCGAAGGCGGGUCUCUGGGCCGAUACUGACGCUGAGGCGCGAAAGCUAGGGGAGCAAACAGG
rnacentral:rRNA from 1 species